rnacentral:rRNA from 1 species
CAGUCGCCGCGGUAAUACGAAGGGUGCAAGCGUUAAUCGGAAUUACUGGGCGUAAAGCGUACGUAGGCGGUGAGUUAAGUCUGCUGUGAAAUCCCCGGGCUCAACCUGGGAAUGGCAGUGGAUACUGGCUCGCUAGAGUGUGUCAGAGGAUGGUGGAAUUCCCGGUGUAGCGGUGAAAUGCGUAGAGAUCGGGAGGAACAUCAGUGGCGAAGGCGGCCAUCUGGGACAACACUGACGCUGAGGCACGAAAGCGUGGGGAGCAAACAGGAUUAGAUACCCGCGUAGUCCCUGUCUCUUAUAA